GCCUGGCUGGCUCAGUCAGUAGAGCAUGGGACUCUUAAUCUCACAGUUGUGAGUUUAAGCCUCCACACUGGGCG
rnacentral:tRNA from 1 species